ACCCAAAACUUUAGAUCCUCUUUUUUUUUUUUUUCCAUUUCCCGUAUUUAUUUUCAAUCUACACACUCUUUGAUUGUUAUUGUCUCAUUUCAUUUUUCUGCACUUCUUUCACCAUGUGUUUUAUUUGUCGAAAUUCAUAUGUCGUUCAUUUGUUUAUCUCUUUACCUUAUGAUUUGCCUCAUUUUACUUGUGCAUAUUUUUAUUGAUAUAUUGAAUGUGUUUGUACACAAUUUUGUACACCUCUGACACUAUAAGAAAUCUUUAUUGUAAUUCAAAGGAGAUAACCUACAUACUUUGCUUUGUGUAUUAGUUCUUCUUCUUGUGUAUUAGUUCUUCUAAAUUCAAACUUUGCUGAUUGUAAUUUUGUCAUUUAUCCUUUUAAGAUGAAUGAUGCAAUUAUUACUUGCAUGUUAAAGUUCAACAUCGCUCCCCUACAAAAUUAUAAUUUGUCUGUAUAUUCCCUUAUUUAUAAAUUCAAACAUCACUUUUACAGUAUAACUAUUUAGCAGUGAUAAGUCAGAUUAAGAGAGGUUUUGACAAAAUAUAUAGAUCUCAGUGACAAAAUUAAUAUAUUAAACCAAAGAAUACUUGUCAUAUAUUGAAAAUAUGGUUACAAGAAUUCAUUCUUUUGUUAGAACUAGUUGCAGUCAUAAUGAUGUUCAUUUCAUGUAUUUAUUUACUGAAAGAGUUGUGAGUCAAUUAAGAAGUUUGAACACAGUCAUUUGACCUGUUAGAAAUAGUAGCCAAAUCUCAUAAAACAUAUUUCACUUACUUAAAAAAGAAGGUCAUAUUGGAUAAUGUCUUGGGUGCACAAUGUCUUACAAAAUGACAGGAUGGUCACAGCCAUAACGUGUUUGCUCAUAGGCAUCUUCAAUCAGAGUUACCUGGGAUCACAUAACCAAAAUUGUAAAUGAAAAUAACAGUACCGUCUUUGAAGGCACAAAAGACCUAAGGGCAUAUUAGAAGCACCUUAAUUUCAUCAGUACAUAUUUUUUUUAAAUGGUUUUAGUGCAUUAAAAUAUGCAAUAUAGGCCCAACUUUUCCUAAAGGACCCAGGAUGAUUUGGGGGGACAUUUUUUGGAAAAAGUACAUCAUAUAUGCUAUCAAACAUGAUAUUUAUCCAUAAAUAAUAUUGAUAAAUACUAGAAACUCAAGUUUUCUUUCAAAUACUUCAAAUAUUUUGUCAUUCCACUCAAUAUUUCAAAACAUAUUUAACCCCUUAGCAUUUCAACUGGCCAUGUGCAGCCCAAAUAUUCAGUCUGUUUUAUGUUUAAAUCAGCCAGAUCUGGCUUCUCACAUCUACCCUACAAUGUCAUUCUAAGAAU
rnacentral:lncRNA from 1 species